UCUAAUAUGGCAGAGUAGUGCAAUGAAUUUAAGAUUCUUUUAUAAAUAACAAUAUUUUAUUAGAA
rnacentral:tRNA from 1 species